AAUAGCGCGUAUAGUUCGUAGGAUUAGACCCGAAGCCCGGUGAUCUAGCCAUGGGCAGGGUGAAGUUCGAGUAAAAUCGAAUGAAGGCCCGAACCGGGUAGUGUUGAAAAACUAUCGGAUGACCUGUGGUUAGGGGUGAAAGGCCAAUCAAACCGGGCAAUAGCUGGUUCUCCCCGAAAUAGUUUUAGGACUAGCGUUUUGCGUUCAGUCGGGGGGGUAGAGCACUGAAAGGAUUAGGGGACCUACCAGUCUACCAAACCCUCUCAAACUCCGAAUACCCCGACUCUAGAGCAAGGCAGUCAGACCGUGGGGGAUAAGCUCCAUGGUCGAAAGGGAAACAGCCCAGACCGCCAGCUAAGGUCCCUAAAUCACAGUUAAGUGGGAAACGAUGUGGGAAGGCUCAGACAGCUAGGAGGUUGGCUUAGAAGCAGCCAUCCUUUAAAGAAAGCGUAAUAGCUCACUGGUCUAAAUAAGACUUCUGGCGGCGAAGAUGUAACGGGACUCAAACUAUACACCGAAGCUUUGGAUGCAUACUUUGUAUGCGUGGUAGCGGAGCAUUCUGUAAGUCUGUGAAGG
rnacentral:rRNA from 1 species